AUUGAACGCUGGCGGCAGGCUUAACACAUGCAAGUCGAGCGGGGGAAGGUAGCUUGCUACUGGACCUAGCGGCGGACGGGUGAGUAAUGCUUAGGAAUCUGCCUAUUAGUGGGGGACAACAUCUCGAAAGGGAUGCUAAUACCGCAUACGUCCUACGGGAGAAAGCAGGGGAUCUUCGGACCUUGCGCUAAUAGAUGAGCCUAAGUCGGAUUAGCUAGUUGGUGGGGUAAAGGCCUACCAAGGCGACGAUCUGUAGCGGGUCUGAGAGGAUGGUCCGCCACACUGGGACUGAGACACGGCCCAGACACCUGCGGGAGGCAGCAGUGGGGAAUAUUGGACAAUGGGGGGAACCCUGAUCCAGCCAUGCCGCGUGUGUGAAGAAGGCCUUAUGGUUGUAAAGCACUUUAAGCGAGGAGGAGGCUACUUUAGUUAAUACCUAGAGAUAGUGGACGUUACUCGCAGAAUAAGCACCGGCUAACUCUGUGCCAGCCGCCGCCGUAA
rnacentral:rRNA from 1 species